ACAAACAUAAUGUAAGGAAUAAUGGGAAAGUAUUCCAGAAGAGUAUCCAGUAUCACUGGGCUCCUCAGUGAUGUCAUUAGUUUCUCAAGACACAAAACAAGUGAUCUCGUUGUCCUCUCCUCACAGCAGCAAAAGCAAAGGGCAUAUUUCGUGAUUUAUUCAAACUUUCUCUCAUGAUGGCAACUUGGAUAUCGUUUCCUUAAUGAUUUCUUCUGUUAUCAUUACGAAUAAACUAUAAGUAAGGUUUUUCUGCAAAUUUCACAAGAGGAUAUAUCUGAUGAUUGAAAACUCUUCAUUCAGUAUACAGGGAUGCAUUUCUUAAUCCAUGAACAUCAUUGGCCUCUGGGUAAGCCAUAGGAUGACUUCACGUUGAUGGGUCAUUGACUCUAACUUAAACAACUGAAAUCAGAGUUUGCAUGUGUUUCUGUCAUGUUGGACUUAUUGCCACCCUAUGGACUGUAGCCCAUCAGGCUCCUCUGUCCUUGGAAUUUUGGGGGCAAGAAUACUAGAGUGGGUUGCCAUUUCCUUCUCCAGGAGAUCUUCCUGACCCAGGGAUCAAACCCACGUCUCCUGCAUCUCAAGCAUAGUCAGGGUAGUGAGUUCAAUUUAUGGCUUAGCAAUAAAGACAUUUUGAAGAAGCUUUUCUUAAAAGAGUCUUCAUGUUCACAUAUUAUAAAAUUAUUACUUGACACUACACUGACUAGGAUAUUAAUAUAUUUGAAUUCAAGAACAAAUGUUGAAAAGAUAUGCUUUACCCCAGACAAGAGUUCCCUGAUUAAAGCUGAGUACAGAGUUACCUAAUAGUAACUUAUGAAAGUGCUCUUGCCUGGAAAAUCCCAUGGACAGAGGAGCACUUUCAUUUCUCACUUUCAUGA
rnacentral:lncRNA from 1 species